CAUGGAGACGAGGUCCUUUGUGUCUUUGGUAUAGUUUGGCUUCCAUUUUUCACUGGUGUAGUCCGCCGCUUUUCCUUCACAUCUCCCUCCUCUUUUUAAGCAAGGGUUCUCUCUAGCUUUUUACGGGGUCACGGGAGUGUAGAAGGACCGUCAAGAAGGUUCUCUUUUUUCUUAUCAGAUCUCGAAUGGUCGGACCUUAGUUGGUGUCAGGAUGAGGUUCUUCCCCUA
rnacentral:lncRNA from 1 species